rnacentral:rRNA from 2 species
GAACGUGGCCUCCUUUUCUCCGUAAAAUGACGCUAAGGCGCGAAAGCGUGGGGAGCCAAUCAGGAUUAGUUACCCUGGUAGUCCACGCCGUAAACGAUGAGUGCUAAAGUGUUAGAGGGUUUCCGCCCUUUAGUGCUGCAGCAAACGCAUUAAGCACUCCGCCUGGGGAGUACGGCCGCAAGGCUGAAACUCAAAGGAAUUGACGGGGGCCCGCACAAGCGGUGGAGCAUGUGGUUUAAUUUGAAGCAACGCGAAGAACCUUACCAGGUCUUGACAUCUCCUGACAAUCCUAGAGAUAGGACGUUCCCCUUCGGGGGACAGGAUGACAGGUGGUGCAUGGUUGUCGUCAGCUCGUGUCGUGAGAUGUUGGGUUAAGUCCCGCAACGAGCGCAACCCUUGAUCUUAGUUGCCAGCAUUUAGUUGGGCACUCUAAGGUGACUGCCGGUGACAAACCGGAGGAAGGUGGGGAUGACGUCAAAUCAUCAUGCCCCUUAUGACCUGGGCUACACACGUGCUACAAUGGAUGGUACAAAGGGCAGCAAAACCGCGAGGUCGAGCCAAUCCCAUAAAACCAUUCUCAGUUCGGAUUGUAGGCUGCAACUCGCCUACAUGAAGCUGGAAUCGCUAGUAAUCGCGGAUCAGCAUGCCGCGGUGAAUACGUUCCCGGGCCUUGUACACACCGCCCGUCACACCACGAGAGUUUGUAACACCCGAAGUCGGUGGGGUAACCCUUCUGGAGCCAGCCGCUAACGA